rnacentral:ncRNA from 2 species
GAACAAACAAGGGGGUGCCCACUGGCGGGCUGAGAUCAUACCCUACGAACCUGAUGCGGUUAGUACCGCCGAAGGGAUUGUUACGGAAUCCAAC